rnacentral:rRNA from 1 species
AAUAUUGGGCAAUGGGCGCAAGCCUGACCCAGCAACGCCGCGUGAGGGAAGAAGGUCUNCGGAUUNUNAACCUCUGUCCUUGGUGNCGAAGGAAGUGACGGUAGCCAAGGAGGAAGCCCCGGCUAACUACGUGCCAGCAGCCGCGGUAAUACGUAGGGGGCGAGCGUUGUCCGGAAUUACUGGGCGUAAAGGGUGCGUAGGCGGUACUUUAAGUUGGAUGUGAAAUACCCGGGCUUAACUUGGGGGGUGCAUCCAAUACUGGAGAACUAGAGUGCAGGAGAGGGAAGCGGAAUUCCUAGUGUAGCGGUGAAAUGCGUAGAUAUUAGGAGGAACACCAGUGGCGAAGGCGGCUUUCUGGACUGUAACUGACGCUGAGGCACGAAAGCGUGGGGAGCAAACAG